CACUCCUGCGGGAGGCAGCAGUGGGGAAUCUUGCGCAAUGGGCGAAAGCCUGACGCAGCCAUGCCGCGUGAAUGAUGAAGGUCUUAGGAUUGUAAAAUUCUUUCACCGGGGACGAUAAUGACGGUACCCGGAGAAGAAGCCCCGGCUAACUUCGUGCCAGCAGCCGCGGUAAUACGAAGGGGGCUAGCGUUGCUCGGAAUUACUGGGCGUAAAGGGAGCGUAGGCGGACAUUUAAGUCAGGGGUGAAAUCCCGGGGCUCAACCUCGGAAUUGCCUUUGAUACUGGGUGUCUUGAGUAUGAGAGAGGUGUGUGGAACUCCGAGUGUAGAGGUGAAAUUCGUAGAUAUUCGGAAGAACACCAGUGGCGAAGGCGAUACACUGGCUCAUUACUGACGCUGAGGCUCGAAAGCGUGGGGAGCAAACAGGAUUAGAUACCCCAGUAGUCCCAUGAU
rnacentral:rRNA from 1 species